AAUAAGAUGGCUGAGAUAUAUUAGGCGAUAGAUUGUAAAUCUAUAUAGAAGUUUGAACUUUCUUAUUA
rnacentral:tRNA from 1 species